rnacentral:rRNA from 1 species
CAAGUCGAGCGAAUAGAUGGGAGCUUGCUCCCUGAUAUUAGCGGCGGACGGGUGAGUAACACGUGGGCAACCUACCUGUAAGACUGGGAUAACUUCGGGAAACCGGAGCUAAUACCGGAUAAUUUCUUUUCUCGCAUGAGAAGAGAUGGAAAGACGGUUUCGGCUGUCACUUACAGAUGGGCCCGCGGCGCAUUAGCUAGUUGGUGAGGUAAUGGCUCACCAAGGCCACGAUGCGUAGCCGACCUGAGAGGGUGAUCGGCCACACUGGGACUGAGACACGGCCCAGACUCCUACGGGAGGCAGCAGUAGGGAAUCUUCCGCAAUGGACGAAAGUCUGACGGAGCAACGCCGCGUGAGCGAAGAAGGCCUUCGGGUCGUAAAGCUCUGUUGUUAGGGAAGAACAAGUACCAGAGUAACUGCUGGUACCUUGACGGUACCUAACCAGAAAGCCACGGCUAACUACGUGCCAGCAGCCGCGGUAAUACGUAGGUGGCAAGCGUUGUCCGGAAUUAUUGGGCGUAAAGCGCGCGCAGGUGGUUCUUUAAGUCUGAUGUGAAAGCCCACGGCUCAACCGUGGAGGGUCAUUGGAAACUGGGGAACUUGAGUGCAGAAGAGGAAAGUGGAAUUCCACGUGUAGCGGUGAAAUGCGUAGAGAUGUGGAGGAACACCAGUGGCGAAGGCGACUUUCUGGUCUGUAACUGACACUGAGGCGCGAAAGCGUGGGGAGCGAACAGGAUUAGAUACCCUGGUAGUCCACGCCGUAAACGAUGAGUGCUAAGUGUUAGAGGGUUUCCGCCCUUUAGUGCUGCAGCUAACGCAUUAAGCACUCCGCCUGGGGAGUACGGCCGCAAGGCU